UAUAUACAUAUUUUAAUUGAUCAAAAGUAUUUUUUUAAUGUAAAUCAUGAAAAUCAAUUUUUUGAAUUUUUUCCACGUGCAUUAACACAUAUUGGAAAUGUAAAUAAUGAAAACGAGUUGUUGCGUCUUUUUUACGUGCAGAAACACAUAUUUGUAAACAAAAAUAUCUCACCACACCAAAAAAAAUAUUUAUUUUGAUAAAACAUUUGUUACGGUUUGUUUUAUUUUUCGUCGGGUUGUUUUCUUUAUGUGCAUUGCCAGAGUGACGUUUUGAAUGUAUACUUUAAUUCCCACAUGCCCAAAAUUUAUCCACAUAAAACAAAUAUAUAUUACAACCAAGUAAGGAAAUUUCCAUACAUCUGGAAAAUAGCAGUUAUUGAGACAAUUAUUAAAAAUGAUGACCAGCAGCUGUAUUACACGAUCAGGAAACCUUCUAAUUAAGAAAUUGGACACACCAUCAAAGCCAGAAGAUUUUUUAUUGUUCAGCCCAUAAAUCACGAAGGUGAAGGGUAUAAUAAACAAAAAAAUCAAAAACAUCAUUGAAUUUAAAAAUAUUUUUUGACAUACCGACCAAAUUCUAUAAUAUUUUAAUUUUGAAAUGUAUUAAUACU
rnacentral:lncRNA from 1 species